GAUGAACGCUGGCGGCGUGCUUAACACAUGCAAGUCGAACGAUGAUCCCAGCUUGCUGGGGGAUUAGUGGCGAACGGGUGAGUAACACGUGAGUAACCUGCCCUUAACUCUGGGAUAAGCCUGGGAAACUGGGUCUAAUACCGGAUAUGACUCCUCAUCGCAUGGUGGGGGGUGGAAAGCUUUWUUGUGGUUUUGGAUGGACUCGCGGCCUAUCAGCUUGUUGGUGAGGUAAUGGCUCACCAAGGCGACGACGGGUAGCCGGCCUGAGAGGGUGACCGGCCACACUGGGACUGAGACACGGCCCAGACUCCUACGGGAGGCAGCAGUGGGGAAUAUUGCACAAUGGGCGAAAGCCUGAUGCAGCGACGCCGCGUGAGGGAUGACGGCCUUCGGGUUGUAAACCUCUUUCAGUAGGGAAGAAGCGAAAGUGACGGUACCUGCAGAAGAAGCGCCGGCUAACUAC
rnacentral:rRNA from 1 species